rnacentral:misc_RNA from 1 species
UCCUCGUUUAAGCGAGGCAGUCUGUCCAGAGUGCUUCGAACUCUCGUUCGAGUGGCAACAGGACACAAGGGUUGCGCUCGUUGCGGGACUUAACCCAACAUCUCACGACACGAGCUGACGACAGCCAUGCAGCACCUGUGCAAGCUGGUAUUGCUACCUCGUUAGACUUUCAUCCUCCUACUACUUCAUGUCAAGGCCAGGUAAGGUUCUUCGCGUUGCAUCGAAUUGAGCCACAUACUCCACCGCUUGUGCAGGCCCCCGUCAAUUUCUUUGAGUUUUAAUCUUGCGAUCGUACUCCCCAGGCGGAAUGCUUAUUGCGUUAGCUGCGCCACCGAAGGGCAUGCCCACCGACGGCUAGCAUUCAUCGUUUACGGCGUGGACUAC